CACCAAGCCCCGCCCCUUGCGUCUGACGUCAGCGCAGGGGCAAGGCCAAUACUGGGGAAGGGGCUUCUAGCCCCUCAGCACCUCCCAGUCAGUGAUUAGUUGAGAGCUGCUUUCCGUCCUUGCUUCCCAUGGAGUGGGUAUUCCAGGCUGCGAUGGCAAGGAAGGACACACAGCCUUCAAACCACUAUUUCUCAAAAAUUAGGACUACACAAGCACUCUGAACAAGCAUACAAUUUCUCUCCCUUCAAAACAAAACAAAACCUUAUGGGACUCCUCCAGAAGUCCUCAGGCUGAGAGGCAGAAUCAGUAACUUCUCCCCAAACUUGAUCAGAGCGAGAUGCUUCCAGGAUGCGAAGCCAUUACACAUGGGAAUCGGUCAUUCCAUCUCUGUAGUGGGCAGCAGCGGUUUGCACUCCAUGCAGAGUCUUCUGAGACCUGUGCAGGACUCUGUUUAUGUGCAGGGUGGGACACAGUGCAUUGAGAGAAUGUGUAGAAAGACUGUACACUUUGCAGAUGCCUGUCCGUGAGGAAGCUAUGGUGAAAAAAAACUGGUACCUACGCAGUUUUCAAGGACUACUCUUAUGCAUUUUGGAACUCUGGAAAUCUGAACAUAUCCACCUCAGUCAGCUGCUCAAGGCUUCGAACUUGGAAUUCAUCUAUCUUAGUCAGCUGCUCUGCUUCCUGGAUCUAGAAUGUGUGCACCUAUAACUCUUCAUUUCUUCAGGUUUAUUAUCAAAGACAUUAACGAUA